AUAGUUUCGACGAGCUGUAACCACAGAGCUGAUGGGAGACUGUGGGGGUGUUUUUACCUCAGAAGGUUCUCUGUUGGGGCUGCCCACGCAGCCGAGAAGCAACUGAAGGGACUCUGCUUUCUUUUUGAGCUGCUUAAAACACAAGUGCUGUAAAAGAAGCGCCGAUUCAGAAUUACAGAAGUGGUGAGAAGAAAAAGGAGACGUCAAGUAGUGCAGAGAGACAGAAACUCAGAUAUUAAACUUUCAGCAGAUGGAAUGAGUGCCCAUGUGCAAGCUUUGGUAGCAGAACAGCUUCAGGGGUUGGCCUUCGUGAGAAGAGACCUCCAUCUCCAACAGAGCCAGUGAUCUCUGAAAUACACCUGCUGCAGGAUAAAGAUCGAAAAGAAAUAUCUUCCUGGCAGCACUGCGUAUGGAAGGAAUAAGGAAAGUAACAAGGAGAAAGUUGCGCGCAUUUACAACAUGAAGAUGCUAUUCAAGGUCAGAAGAAGAAGGUCUUCUAUCUACGUAGAAGGAGGUGGAGACCAUAUAAACACUCAUUGAAAGAGACCCAUGAAGAAAACAGAAGUAGGGGAAAGCACUACAGCUGGAAAAUAAAUCUUGACAAUCCUCCAUUCUUGCUGUCAGACAACACCAGAAGCACACUGGCUUCAAGCAGUCCAGUAUCAAAGUGGAUUUGGAGAUUUGGCUAUUGAUUUCUCCUCUCUGUGUCUCAGAUGGAAGAGGUGGAGCAGUUGAGUUCUUCCUUAUUCUCCUUGUGCUGGACAGAACACAUCUCCAGGAGAUACCACCGCUGAUCAGCCUAUACGGUGAGUCCUGACCAUGAGCUCUCCCUCUGUUCUCUAGGUUUUAAUGUUAUUUUUAUUCAUUUGUGUCCCUUCCCAUGUAUGCCUUGACAUUCCUUAAAAGCCUUUGGUGAGAGAUGCUGUCUGCAGCCCUUAUGAAAUUAAAGCUGCUUAUAUCAACAGGAUAUCCUUUAUCCAAAGGCUUGUUGACACCUUCAGAGAACUCCAGUGGGACCACGUUACGAGACUUCCCUUUAUAAAACCCAAGUGGACUCUUCCUUAACACUUCACAUUUAUCCAUUCAUCUACUAAUUCUUUUUUUUUUUUCUCUGCUUUUCUCUUGUUUUUUUUUUUUUUUUUUUUACUCUGCUGUAAAGCAGCAGCAUGACACCAAUCUGCACAUAACUUCUCAUGCUGCUGGAAGAUCUGACAGUAGUCUGAAAGACUCUGGCAAAGGCACUCACUGCAUCUGUAUUUUCCAGGCUGCAACUUUCAGGUGCUGGAAGAGCAGGAGCUGGGAUAUUUUCCCCAGAAUUCCCUCCUAGUGUUUAUUGUUUUUUCCAGUCAGAUAUACAAGUGGACUCACAACACUGAGAGCACAGCAUCAUUUCCACAUAUCAGGAUUCCUCUAUAUACCCCAAAACAUUGCAAGCAAAAUUACUGCAAGAUGAGCACUUGCCUCCACUCAGUUCCAUCUCCGAGGGGCAGGAAAUGCCUCUUUCUCACCAUUCCCUAAAAUCCUAUGCUGGGAGCCCUGCUAAAUGAGGGAAGGAAGCACCAGACAAGUUCAUUACUGCCAGCUGCAGCUUCAUCCCAGAGGGAAAGUGAUUAUUUAGUGAGCACUGAAAUGAUUCUGUGCAGUGGAUCAGGAACACGUUUAUGGCUCCCAGGCAUCCAAACCUUCCCCUCCCUUUUAGAAGGAAAAUUUGUGCAGGGGAGAAUCCGACUUCAUUGCAUAAACCAGCUUGAAUUAUUUCCUAAUCAUUUAAAAGAUGAUUUGAGAGUUUAAGGUGCAAACUGAUGACUUUUCAUCAGUGAUUUCAUGGCAGAGCAGUGGACAGCCUAAAUCAUCUAGCCAACUCCAGCCAGGUUCAUGCCCCCGUCCUUCUGGGUUUUAUGGCAAGUUAUGAUUUCUUUAAAUUCUAGAAAACACUGAAAGCAAAAUAAAUGAUAGAAAAACAAGUAGCUGCUAAACUGCCCAAGAAGAGCCUUGUGGCCAUUUCUGCAAAAAUAAACAACCGAAAGGUAAACAAUCAUGCCUCCCUCUCAUAAGGAGUACAUUUCAUCCUUUCUAGUUUUUAGUGACUUUUGAAUGAAGCAAACCACCAGCAGCUCUGAGUCUUGCAUUGAUUGCAUGCAUCUUUCUGCAGCCCUGAACCACCCCAAGGGAUGUAUUGCUGACUUUUCACAAAACCCAUUCCCAUAGAAUCACAGAAUCAUAGAAUCACUUGAGUUGGAAGGGACCCUUACAGGUCAUGUAGUCCAACUCCAUGUAUUGCACUGGGUAGUUGCACAAAGCUGACUUCUUGGCAGGCUUGGAGAUACUACAAGGUUUCUGCAGACACCGGUAGGAACCAGCUGUCAUGCCUCAGUGACUCAUGGUACAGGGUACAGGAAAACAGCCUUUGUCAGACUGAGUAACCAGGCAAGCACUGGCGUGACACCUGAAGGCAUGUACGUGCUUGGUGUGAUGCAACCCAGUGUGCCUUCAUGUAGAUGAGCUCAGGACUCUAUGUUUUGAAUUUGAGUCACACUGUUCCCCCACUCAUGGUCUCCACUUCACUGCACCAAGUGGAAGCAUGGCAUGCUCCUGCCUCAGCAUCCAUGGGAUGCUCUCAGAUUACCAAAUCUUGGCUUAGUUUACAGAGGUUCUGAGAUCACCUACAGUGAAGGGAGAUGGAAUCUGUAGUCUGGCAGGUUCAGCUUAUCACAUUCUCUAAGGCUCCAAUUUAUCCCAUUCACUUAGGAAGGGCAGAGAGAAAGUAAAUCCCUUCUGAUUUACCAGGACUUGGACACUUCAUUCCCACUGACUUCAUAGAAUCAUAGAAUCUGUAGAGUUGGAAGGGACCUUUAAAGGUCAUCUAGUCCAACUCCCCUGCAAUGAACAGGGACAUCCACAGCUAGAUCAGGGUACUCAGUAAGUUACUUCAAUAUUCUUAACAGAAUAACUUCUUAGCAGAGCUUUCUCAGGGAGUUCUUCUCCCCAUCUGUACAUAUAUCUGGGAUUGCACCAAUACACCUUGUACUUGGCCUCACUGAAUCACGUUUGGUUGCAUCUAGGAAGUUUUGAACACAAAGCUUUGAGAUGCUUUGGUCCCACUACAUAAAGAUGUAGCCAUAAAGCAAAAAUAAGGGACUGAGGAAAAUUUUAAAUGAAAACUUAAGCCUUAUAAACUUAGAAGACCAAGAUCCACCUUCAUCUUUGACUGUGGGUGUAUGAUGGUGAGAAUAAAAUGAGUCAUUUUCAUAUAGUUUUUAGAGUAAAUGAAAAAGCAAUUAAGAUAACAUGGACCAUCAUCUAAAAUACCAGUACGGGCACAGAGCAGCUGCCAUGAAAUUGCCACAAUAAAUGGUUGUGCACGCUGAACUGAGAGUUCUCAACAAAACAUGGAAAAUGUUGAUCUCCAUCUCCAGAGAAAUAAAAGCAACACACAUCCUUAGUUUCUUUUGGGCACUCUUCUCAGAAGCUGGCCCUAAAGUUGUUGUAAAGGUAACAAUUUCAAAGCGAUGCCUAAAAUCAGUGACUCAUCCAUUUGUUCCAGAAGAUGCCCAGGAAAGGAUAACCUAAAAGAACCUCCUAAUAGGUAAAAGCCUAUAGGUAGAUAUGAGAAGCAGCUUGAUAAGUUAACAAAAUGCCUUGUAAGUCAUGACUGUCCUACUUAGGAGAAUAUCAGGUGAAUUCAGUUUCCUAUUUUAGACUUUUCUACUUGUUUCUUACUCAGUGUAUGUUGGACACGUACAAAGCAUACAUUUUAUGCACCAAUUUAUUGACAGUAAAAGGAAAAUUUGAUGUAUAGCUGCUAUGAAGAUCUCCUGUGCCCAACCUGUUCUUUUCUUCCAGAUAUCUAUUGAGAUAUAUUCCAACAUGCAGAACAGACUCUCUUCUUUGCUGUGCAAAGAGUUGUCCAUGUUCAAUGACACAUGGAAAUAUACCUUGAAAGUAGCAGUGUUCCCCUAUGGGAGACCUAUGCAUCUCCAGAGCCCCCCUCUUUUCCAUCUGUGGAGAUGGCUGCUCAUCUAAGGGAGCAAUUGGACUAAAAUCACACUGUCUCCAUUUGCUUCCAGCUCAUGUUUGCUACUUUUUGCCUUUGGCUUGGUUCGCAGCACUGAAUGCUCAUAUAAACACAAAUUUGAAGGAAAUACCUAGGGAGUAGCUGCCUGAUAUGGAAACGAGCUUAGAGGUCAUUUGUGAAUAUCUGCAAAGGACACUUAGCUCUGGAUUUACUUCUCCAGCCAGAGAAGAUAAACCCAAUGUGAUUCAUGUGUCCAGUCAAAACUGACAGCACGCUUCACUGUGAGCUGAAGCUCAUUACCAUGAGCUGCUAAUGGAUAAGUGAUAAGCCACGGCUUACUGGAAGGAAAUUGUGUGAGAAAUAAGGAAUAUAUGUGAUAAAAGUAAUAACCUGAUAGCUCCUGAAUAAGAAAAGAGGCUGCAUUUGUUGAACAAAUUUCAGUACAUCACUUCUCACACUGCUGCUGGAGGGCAGCUGUUACAGGAUACACAGCUCCGCAGGGUUGGGGCUAGCUGUGAUUCCAUUGCACAGCAAAGCCAACCCUUUAAGCACUGCCAAGAAGGAAGUCUGGCUCCCCAGUGCCAUCCCUGACCCCAGUGUGCAUCCUGAAACUUCCAUUUCAUCACAUGCAGCAGCAUCAGCCCAAGGAUUCAGCAGAAACAUGCAGCCUGCUGAGCCUGUCCCCCCUCACCUUCAACAACAGAUACCCAUACAAAAUAGGGUAAAAUCUCAUUUUCAGCCUCAUAAUACCACCAUGCAGUCACUGUUCCUGGAGGUGUUCAAGAAAAGGGUAGAUGUGGCACUGAGGGACAUGGUUUAGUGGGCAUGGUAGUGAGAAGUCAACAGCUGGACUAGAUAAUUCUAGAGGUCUUUUCCAACCUUUCUGAUUCUAUACCAUAGAGACAACAGUGCUGGGUGCCAGAGCUAAAGCAAAGAGCUACAAGGGGAAGAAACACGGAGUCAUGAAUGACCGUGAGAAUUAAUUUCUGCCAUAAAAUACGGCUCACAAUAUGAAGUAUCUGAGAACCAUCUCAAAGCCGUGUCCUCUAGCAGUUAAUUUUAAAAGCAUUAGUUAUGGCUUAAAAUCACCUGUAAGUACAUGAAUGCCUCGCAGGCCAGAUCGGCUGGCAGGGUGCAGCCCUGUGAACCUGCCAGCUGAUUAAUUAGUGCUAGGCAGCACAACAGCUGCUGUCAGUAAAACAAAACUGGAAGGGCACUGGGUGAAGCUCUGGUGUGGGGCUUAGCCAUGGGCUAAACUCUGCGGGGCAGGGAGGAAGGAGAGCCCUCAGCAUCUGGUAGUGAAGGUGCCAGGGGAAUAGCUGACCAACACUGCUGUAAAUUUUCCUGGAAGUUUUUUGUAUUGAUUAGCCCCAUGAAGGUAAGUGGGAGGGAUGUAAAGGAGAAGGGCUGCACUGCUCUCCCUCCUCUCAACUCUCAACUUUGCACUGCUGCGGGCAAUGAUGCAGAAAGCAAGAGUCCUGAUUUACUCUGUGUGAGCAGGGUGUGACAGGGAUGCUUCUGCUGCCUGAAAUACUGACCUGGAGGGACAGGGAGAUGUGAGCAACUCUGUCUGAGAGCAUGUAUUGUAUUGAUCAGCGAAUAGCUAUAACUGUUGUAGUCAGUUACGGAGACGCACUUCAGUUAAGUCAAUACAAGUUAUGGAGAUGCACUUCAAUUAAGAGAGAAACCAGUAACAGAAGAACCUUACUAUUUUUUAGAAGCACUGACAGAAAUGGGUUAAAUCUCAGUCACUGCCCUCACUGAGUUAUGUUGUUCAUAAAUGAUCUUGGCCUGAACCACAGCUCAGGAGCUGACAACGGCAAAUCCACUGUUCCUCCAUGGUUAGGCAGGUCCUAUCACAGAUGGAAGGGUCUAAAGAAAAACCAAGUGUGGGAGAAAGGGUGAGGACAGUGCCUUGGUGACCUGCUUCCAUCAGACAUGGUGCCAAGCCAGCAACUUUUCGUGGUGAUACAAAGAAUUAUAGAAUUAUUGAAUUGGAAGGGAUCCUUAAAGGUCAUCUAGUCCAACUCCCUUGCAGUGAACAGGGACACCUACAUCCAGAGCACCACAGGCAGAGUGGCACUGCCUCUUCUCAUGCAUAACAUCUAUUGUGUAUUCUUUACAUGCUGUGUCUUUUCCCAGCCUGCGAGUGUUAGUUCUGCUCCAAGCAGUGCAGCAGGAGAGCACUUGAUGCACAUACAUUUCUACAUUCAGGUCACCCCACAAAAAUGGAGACUCACUGACGUUGCUGAAAUUCCAUUCAAUCCCCAGCCUAUGCUUGAAGAGAAACUAUUCAGAUUUCUCCUGUUUACUCUUAGGGAUUAGGAUUAGAAAUAAUACACUGCUUCACACUUUUAUUUCUCAGUUCUUACAGCAUUCCCAAGAUAUACGUGUUUUGUUCAGUUCAUGUUUAUGUCCUUUAAGGCCCUUAAAUAAGCUGUUAUAUAUUGACUUCCUCUAAACUGAACCCAGAAAUGCUUACUAGACUGAAAAAAGCAGCACCAGAUGGCUCCAAUAUCAUCAGUCUAGAAGGAUUUCUGUUCUUCAACAGGCACUAAAUGUGGCUGAAAAAUCAGCAGGAUGCUUAGUCAAAUCACCUCUAAGAGGCUUUGUAAUUGCAUUCAGUUCUGCAGCAAUGAAAAAUGAGAAUAAUAAGCUCAAUGUAUUACACUUAAACUGGAGCUCCAUAAAUAGAGGCAAUAAGAAACACUGGCUGAUGGCUUAAAGGCAGUGCUUUGGGACUCAGCACUCUGCUCAGUGGAAAAGGGGAUGACAAGCUACCCGAGUUCACCCCAGUAUCUCAUCCAUGAACUCCUACAUUUCGAAAAAUGCCCAGAGGCAGAGGAUCCCCUAUCUAAGAAGGUGUGAAAGAGCCCAGUUCCCAGAAGUCAAGUUUUGUGCACAUCUACAGUUUAAUAAGGCUCUCAUAAUGAUGUUAGGGUGAAAAUCUAGACUUACAUGUACAAAGGCAUUAGGCCAUUUCUUUUGACAUGCAUAUCCAAAAUAGCUGUUGUAUUAGAGUAAUUAGCUUUAAGAUCAUAAUAUUCUUUUUGAUACUGAAGCUUUAGUAAUUUUUAAAGUAUUUAGUUCUUUCUUGCUUUGUGUCACUUUCAUUCCUAGCUAGUCUCAUUUGCUAGCUCUAUGCACAGGAACUGAUCUGAGGAGUUCCCUAAUUACCACCAUACUAGUUACCAAAAAAUUCUCGAGCACAUUUCCAUGCAUAUCUCUGUGUCUCAAGUUGUUUUCAUUGAAACCUAAAAAUACAUGACUUUCUGCUUUUCUGUCUUUGGUAUUUUUUUACUGCACUGGUAGAGUCAUUCCACUAGGUUUUACUUUUUUUAAGUGUACUUUCCCUUUAUCUGGGCUAAUGGUCUGGGUGCCCAUCAUGGUUAGAAGAGGUCUAAUCAUCAGCAUCAACUUUAGAGUGCAAUUCCUACCAAAUGCAGGUGUCCUCUCAGGGAGAAGGUAAAUGACAUCUCCCUUCUCAGUGAGAAGGUGGUAUCUGACUGGUGACUCUUACUCUACUGAUUACAAAGAUGACCUGACAGAGGUCUCAGGAUCCAUAUCAUAGAUCCACAUCCAGUCAAAUGAACAUCAUGCCCAGGAAUUCUCAGGACGUGGUAGAUGCUUAGGCAAGGUUAGCUGGAUUGCAUUAGUACCAGGUUCACUUCUUUAAACAAGAAGAUAGGUGUUUUUUGCACUGGUUUUCAAAGCACUUUAUGAAGAUCACUAAAAAAAAAGACAGUCUAGCUCUAAAGCACUCUGAACUGUUCUGCAACUUACUAGCCUUGUAUAGGGCAUUCUGAAGCUCUUGCUCAUUGGGUGUUAGUGUACAGGGUCAUCUUGGCUUUUUCUGACAGCUGGUAGCCAUAACUUGACUGCUGCCUUCCCAGUUGCCCCCAGGCUCUAUGACGUGGGCAAGUCAAUAUUCCUUCUCAUAAUCUUAUCAAUGGGCUUCAACAAGGCCUGUGGAGAAGGACAGCCUUUGGUGCAGGACCUACCUGUGGCUUAUGAUAGGCAAGCUUUGGCAGUGGUAUUCUUUAUGAUUGUUCACCUUUACACAUCUCCUUACAUACUUGUUUUUAAAUCUGUUCCAUGCAAAGCACUCAAAAAUUAGAGACUAUAUUUGCAUCUCAAUUAUCUGCGGAUGAUCACCAACCACUUGUUCUUAACUGGCAGGUUCCCAACCACUCAUUUUUCUGUUGUUCAAUGCUUUUCCCAAGUUAGCUGGAUGUUUCUGUAUAAAACAGUCACCGGACUGUAAGUCUCUGCCCAGAACACGUUGAGUGCUAUUACACAGCUGGCAUUGCUCAUUUGCUCGGCUUGCUCAAGACGAAUCAAAUAGCUGGGUACAUCCUCCUGCUGUCUGCAACUUAAAUUAGAAAGAAUAGACCACAAGAACAACUGCAGUGGUAGGAGAAGUGACUACAAAUAAGGAAACAAAAAUGUUUCUUUUAGAAACCCUUAUUCCACAAAGGGAAAUCGUAAAAGUAGUACAGGAUAUUUUUGUUACUGUUUUUUAAUUUGAGAUUUCAUCCCUGAAAACAUUUGUGGACCUAGAGUGUUGUGCAAAGUUUUUUGCUGCAGUGUGGUGAUUCCUAAAAUGAGCACAGUAACAAAUCUCUCCAGAGUAAAUUGCAUAUAAUUAAUAGGAAGCCAGAGGAAAAAGCAAUAAUGGUACAUUUAUCUAAAUACAAGUUCAGUCCUGGAAUGAGCACUGAGGCCACACUAAAGAGAGGCAUUUCUAUUCUUUCCAGCUGAGUAAUGAACAAUAAUUAUGUGCUUGUAUUGCAAGUUCUGAUUUUCAAUCUGAUAUGAAUUUUGCCAAACUGCAGGGAGGUACGAGAAGCCUGAUAGGAUGAUAGGUAAUGUCCUUAAGUUGCACCCGGGGAGGUUCAGAUUGGAUAUUAGGAAAAAUUUCUUCUCAGGAAGAGUGGUAAU